rnacentral:rRNA from 1 species
UGGGGAAUCUUGCGCAAUGGGCGAAAGCCUGACGCAGCGACGCCGCGUGAGGGAGGAAGGCCUUCGGGUUGUAAACCUCUUUCAGGAGGGACGAAGCUACUCGGGUGAAUAGCCCAGAGGGUGACGGUACCUCCAGAAGAAGCCCCGGCUAACUACGUGCCAGCAGCCGCGGUAAUACGUAGGGGGCAAGCGUUGUCCGGAUUUACUGGGCGUAAAGAGCGUGUAGGCGGCCAAGCAGGUCCGUUGUGAAAACUGGAGGCUUAACCUCCAGACGUCGACGGAAACCGCGUGGCUAGAGUCCGGAAGAGGAGAGUGGAAUUCCUGGUGUAGCGGUGAAAUGCGCAGAUAUCAGGAAGAACACCAAUGGCGAAGGCAGCUCUCUGGGACGGUACUGACGCCGAGACGCGAAAGCGUGGGGAGCGAACAGGAUUAGAUACCCUGGUAGUCCACGCCGUAAACGAUGGGUGCUAGGUGUGGGAGGUGUCGACUCCUUCCGUGCCGUAGCUAACGCUAA